rnacentral:rRNA from 1 species
AGUGAACGCUGGCGGCGUGCUUAAUACAUGCAAGUCGAACGAUGAAGUCCUAGCUUGCUAGGAUGGAUUAGUGGCGCACGGGUGAGUAAUAUAUAGUUAAUCUGCCUUGCACUGAGGAACAACAGUUGGAAACGAUUGCUAAUACCUCAUACUCCAACUUUACAUAAGUUAAGUUGGGAAAGUCUUUUCGGUGCAAGAUGAGACUAUAUCGUAUCAGCUAGUUGGUAAGGUAAUGGCUUACCAAGGCUAUGACGCGUAACUGGUCUGAGAGGAUGAUCAGUCACAUUGGAACUGAGACACGGUCCAAACUCCUACGGGAGGCAGCAGUAAGGAAUAUUGUGCAAUGGGGGAAACCCUGACGCAGCAACGCCGCGUGGAGGAUGACACUUUUCGGAGCGUAAACUCCUUUUGUGAGGGAAGAAUAAUGACGGUACCUAACGAAUAAGCACCGGCUAACUCCGU